CUUGGUUCAAAGCAAGACACACCAUCCCUACUAAUAUUGAAAACAGUUUCUUAUUUUAGAUAUUUUCUGACGGAAAAUUUGAUAAAAAUCAUCAAAUAUGCACAAGGUAGAAGGACGGGGCCAUGAGUCUAGUUGUAAGAGCCCAGAAGCAGAUGUUCUACGUCUACAUUUAACCAAAUCGUGGACAAGACCUGCACUUCUGGCUGAAUGAUGCAUCAGCUUGGACCCAAUUCAUGCACUGCAGAGUUUAGGGCUUCAAACAUAUCAAGGAGACAGAUGAACUUGACAUGAACAACAAGAAACGUGCAUUUUUUUAAGAUCCGGAAUAACAUCACGAGCAGCUUUCUACGAAAUGCAAGGAAUAAACAUGGGGAAUUUUCAUAUUUCAAGUCAUUUUGCUUAAAUUGAAUGACCAAGCAUGUGGUUCUGCGCUCGUCAUGCUUCAGGCUUCCAGCAAAAUCUAAGGAACACAUCGAGGAAAUGUCGUCACCUUUUCUAAAACCUACAAGGUAGAAUACAUAGACAGAUUUGCACUAAAGGGGGAUCUAACAAUUGAGCUGGGUUCCCCCCCAUCAUUGUACAGCAUUUUCGUAUUAUGUACAAGAGUGCAGAGAUUUCAGAUA